rnacentral:lncRNA from 1 species
GAAGUCCUUCGCCCGAAUAUCUCUAUUCCUCGCUCGUAACUUGACCCGUUCAAGGUUGUUCAGGAUGGGUCUUCAGUGGAGGAUAUCAGUGCAACGUCUUAGGAUGGAGAGACUUAAUAUUUUAAACUGUACUGUAAAUAAGGUGUUAUACCCUUACGUUUAUUGCUACCUAUAUGAACAAUGAUAUUUAUUUAUUUACCUUUUUCAUGUUGGUAUUUCCUUUGUGUAUGGUGUAAUUGGU